rnacentral:rRNA from 1 species
CCUACGGGGGGCAGCAGUGGGGAAUAUUGGACAAUGGGCGAAAGCCUGAUCCAGCCAUGCCGCGUGAGUGAUGAAGGCCUUAGGGUUGUAAAGCUCUUUUGUCAGGGAAGCGGUACCUGAAGAAUAAGCACCGGCUAACUUCGUGCCAGCAGCCGCGGUAAUACGAAGGGUGCUAGCGUUGUUCGGAAUUACUGGGCGUAAAGCGCGCGUAGGCGGUUAUACAAGUCAGAGGUGAAAUCCCAGGGCUCAACCCUGGAACUGCCUUUGAAACUGUAUAGCUGGAGUGUGUGAGGGGAUAGCGGAAUUGCUAAUGUAGAGGUGAAAUUCGUAGAUAUUAGCAGGAACACCGGUGGCGAAGGCGGCUAUCUGCCACAACUGACGCUGAGGCGCGAAAGCGUGGGGAUCAAACAGGAUUAGAUACCCUAGUAGUC